UCUGUAACCAUAACAAGAAAAUGAAAUUCUUGGACCGCGCGGGACUGCUCUAAGCAUCUGUGGAUCCCAGGGGCCCAGUGCACAGUGGGUGCUCAGUGACCGUCUCCUGGACGCCGGCCCCUCCCAGCCACCAGCCGCUGCACUGAGCUGAGCCACCGCCAAGCCCUUUACCACGGAAAACCAAACCGCAGUGGGUUUCCAGAAAUGUGGAAAACAUCCCCUCAGGAAUCCAGGCGUCCCCAGGCCCUCCUGCACAGCGGAGAAGGGAGCACCCCCUUGCCACCGUUUAUCCCGCAUCUGAGAGGGGCCUGCACCCCAGGAUCCUUGCACGGCCGCGAAACACGGGAUGGCAGACAGACGAAGAAACAGGCCCAGGGAGAUGUCACGCUUUGUGAUGGCGUCCAACCUCAAGGACCGCUGACUCCCACAUUGCUACCUCCGGCCCAGACCACUCCUGACCCAAGAAUACAUAUUUAACUGCCACUUGGCAUCGCCACUUAGGUAUCUAGUGGACAUCUCAGACUCACCACAUCCAAACAUGAGCUCCUGAUCUCCCCCCAAACCUGCUCCACCUACUGCCUCCCCCUCAGGUGAUGGCAACUCCGUCUUUCCAGUGGUUCAGGCGUAAAAUAAUGGCGUCAUCCUUGAUGCCUCUCUUCCUCCCACACGUCACCUGGAAUACUGACAGUUCCUGCCACCUCCACCGCUACCACCCUGGCCCAAACCAGCAUCGCCUCUUGCCUGGACUAUUGCGAUAGCUCCUAACUGGUUGUCCCCUUCUUGUCCCCUUCCCCUCAACAGGCUAUUCUCUACACGAGACCAAAGUGAGCCUUUUAAAACUUAGGUCAGAUCAUGUCUCUUGUCUGCUCAAAAACCUGUGGUGGCACCCGUCUUCCUCAGUGUGGGUGCCAGAGUCCUUCACAGUGGCUACACAACCCUGCAUGGCUUUGAGCCCCCUCCUACCCCACUGACUGCUGUCCCCUUCACCACAGAGCUCCAGGGACUGCCACUAAAUCACCCAGCCAGGAAGGAAAAACUGUCCUGUCCCCUUCACCACAGAGCUCCAGGGACUGCCACUAAAUCACCUAGCCAGGAAGGAAAAGCACCAGGACUAGAAGUCUGUUUUGGCUUCAAGAUUCUCUCAGUCUUUAAACUACAAAACACAACUUCCCAGCAAGUCCACUGUCUUCCCGGGACUGCAGUUCCCCCACCUGUAAAAUAAAGAUGCUUCCUCCCACCUGGAUUACAUCAGAGGCAGGUGGGAUUAGACACCUCCUACGA